GACGAACGCUGGCGGCGUGCCUAAUACAUGCAAGUAGGACGCAGUUGCGAACGGGUGAGCAACGCGUAGGUAACUACCUAUUAGAGGGGGAUAACUACUGGAAACGAUAGCUAAUACCGCAUACUAGUAGCUGGACCUGCGUUGUAUUAGCUAGUAGGUAGGGUAAUGGCCUACCUAGGCAACGAUACAUAGCCUACCUGGGAGGGUGGUCGGCCACACUGGUGCUGAUAGACGGCCCGGACUCCUACGGGAGGCAGCAGUAGGGAAUCUUCGGCAAUGGGGGGAACCCUGACCGAGCAACGCCGCGUGAGGUAAGAAGGUUUUCGGAUCGUAAAGCUCUGUUGUGAAGGAAGCGGUACUUAACCAGAAAGGGACGGCUAACUACGUGCCAGCAGCCGCGGUAAUUC
rnacentral:rRNA from 1 species